UACGGGGGGGGCAAGCGUUGUUCGGAAUUACUGGGCGUAAAGGGCUCGUAGGCGGCCAACUAAGUCGGACGUGAAAUCCCCAGGCUCAACCUGGGAACUGCGUCCGAUACUGGAUGGCUUGAAUCCGGGAGAGGGAUGCAGAAUUCCAGGUGUAGCGGUGAAAUGCGCAGAUAUCUGGAGGAAUACCGGUGGCGAAGGCGGCAUCCUGGACCGGCAUUGACGCUGAGGAGCGAAAGCCAGGGGAGCAAACGGG
rnacentral:rRNA from 1 species